rnacentral:rRNA from 1 species
AUACGUAGGGUGCAAGCGUUAAUCGGAAUUACUGGGCGUAAAGCGUGCGCAGGCGGUUUUGUAAGACAGUGGUGAAAUCCCCGGGCUCAACCUGGGAACUGCCAUUGUGACUGCAAGGCUGGAGUGCGGCAGAGGGGGAUGGAAUUCCGCGUGUAGCAGUGAAAUGCGUAGAUAUGCGGAGGAACACCGAUGGCGAAGGCAAUCCCCUGGGCCUGCACUGACGCUGAUGCACGAAAGCGGGGGGAGCAAACAGGAUUAGAUACCCUGGUAGUCCACGCACUAAACGAUGUCAACUGGUUGUUGGGGAUUUAGUUUCUCAGUAACGAAGCUAACGCGUGAAGUGGACCGCCUGGGGAGUACGGCCGCAAGGUUAAAACUCAAAGGAAUUGACGGGG